GACUCGUUAGCUCAGUAGGUUAGAGCGUUGGUAUUAAACACCAAAGGGCGGAGGUUCAAAUCCUUCACGAGUCA